ensembl:snRNA U4 U4 spliceosomal RNA
AGCUUUGUGCAGCGGCAAUAUCGUAGACAAAGAGGUUUAUCUGAGGCACAAUUAUUGCUAUUUGAAACAAUUGAGUAAAGUGUACUGC